GCCUGCCAACUAUUUUUCACUUGAGGGAAAAAACUAAGAAAAAUGUGCUUUCUUGAGGGUGUUAUACCCCCUUGAAAAUACCUUGGGUUGGAUUGGAGAACGGUGUGCCCUCGGGUGGCGAGUUUUCACCUUUUGUUUUCUGAGUGGUGGCGUGGGGUUUUGAUCUUUUUGGGUUACUUCUAUUCGCUUACACAGUUGGCUUAAUGACUCUAAAUGACCCGUCUUGAAACACGGACCAGGAUCAA
rnacentral:rRNA from 1 species